rnacentral:rRNA from 1 species
AUACGUAGGUGACAAGCGUUAUCCGGAUUUACUGGGCGUAAAGGGCGUGUAGGCGGUCUUGCAAGUCAGAAGUGAAAUUCCUGAGCUCAACUCGGGCGCUGCUUCUGAAACUGCAGGACUUGAGUGCUGGAGGGGAUAGCGGAAUUCCUAGUGGAGCGGUAAAAUGCGCAGAUAUUAGGAGGAACACCAGUGGCGAAGGCGACUUUCUGGACAGUAACUGACGCUGAGGUACGAAAGCGUGGGGAGCAAACAGGAUUAGAUACCCUGGUAGUCCACGCUGUAAACGAUGAGCACUAGGUGUCGGGCUAGCAAUAGUUCGGUGCCGCAGUUAACGCAAUAAGUGCUCCGCCUGGGGAGUACGCACGCAAGUGUGAAACUCAAAGGAAUUGACGGGG